GAUGAACGCUGGCGGCGUGCCUAAUACAUGCAAGUCGAGCGAACGGACGAGAAGCUUGCUCCCCUGAUGUUAGCGGCGGACGGGUGAGUAACACGUGGACAACAUACCUAUAAGACUGGGAUAACUUCGGGAAAUCGGAGCUAAUACCGGAUAAUAUUUCGAACCGCAAGGUUCAAAAGUGAAAGUCGGUCUUGCUGUCACUUAUAGAUGGAUCCGCGCUUCAUCAGCUAGUUGGUAAGGUAACGGCUUACCAAGGCAACGAUGGAUAGCCGACCUCAGAGGGUGGACGGCUAGCUGGGAAGAGAGGCACAGUCCCGACUCCGACGGUGAGACGCAGUAGGGAAUCUUACGCGAGGGGGGAGUGCCGAACGGUGGAACGUCGGGGGAGGGAUGAAGGACUUAGGAUCGGUGAACUCUGUAGGUCGGGGGGAUGAUAUGUGUUUGUAACUGUGAAGAUCAUGACGGUACCGGAUGAGAAAGCCACGGCUAACUACGUG
rnacentral:rRNA from 1 species